rnacentral:rRNA from 1 species
UACGUAGGUGGCAAGCGUUGUCCGGAUUUACUGGGCGUAAAGAGCGCGCAGGUGGUUCAUUGCGUCGUGCGUGAAAGACCCCGGCUCAACUGGGGAGGGUCGUGCGAAACGGGUGAACUAGAGGCCAGUAGGGGGAUGUGGAAUUCCGGGUGUAGUGGUGGAAUGCGUAGAGAUCCGGAGGAACACCAGCGGCGAAGGCGGCAUCCUGGACUGGUCCUGACACUCAGGAGCGAAAGCGUGGGGAGCGAUCCGG